rnacentral:rRNA from 1 species
UACGUAGGGUGCGAGCGUUACUCGGAAUUACUGGGCGUAAAGCGUGCGCAGGCGGUUUUGUAAGUCAGAUGUGAAAUCCCCGGGCUUAACCUGGGAACUGCGUUUGAAACUACAAGGCUAGAGUGUGGCAGAGGGGGGUGGAAUUCCACGUGUAGCAGUGAAAUGCGUAGAGAUGUGGAGGAACACCGAUGGCGAAGGCAGCCCCCUGGGUUAACACUGACGCUCAGGCACGAAAGCGUGGGGAGCAAACAGG